GAUGAACGCUGGCGGCGUGCCUAAUACAUGCAAGUCGAGCGAACAGACGAGGAGCUUGCUCCUCUGACGUUAGCGGCGGACGGGUGAGUAACACGUGGAUAACCUACCUAUAAGACUGGGAUAACUUCGGGAAACCGGAGCUAAUACCGGAUAAUAUAUUGAACCGCAUGGUUCAAUAGUGAAAGACGGUUUUGCUGUCACUUAUAGAUGGAUCCGCGCCGCAUUAGCUAGUUGGUAAGGUAACGGCUUACCAAGGCGACGAUGCGUAGCCGACCUGAGAGGGUGAUCGGCCACACUGGAACUGAGACACGGUCCAGACUCCUACGGGAGGCAGCAGUAGGGAAUCUUCCGCAAUGGGCGAAAGCCUGACGGAGCAACGCCGCGUGAGUGAUGAAGGUCUUCGGAUCGUAAAACUCUGUUAUUAGGGAAGAACAAAUGUGUAAGUAACUAAGCACGUCUUGACGGUACCUAAUCAGAAAGCCACGGCUAACUACGUG
rnacentral:rRNA from 1 species